AUGCCGACCAUGCAGGACAUCACUGCUGGCACCCGAGGCAGCACGGGAGGCACUGUCUCACCCCGACCUCAUCCAGUGAUCUGGGCACCGCUGGUCCACGCUCCCCUGCAGACGGCCGCUGCCACCACCAAUGUGGCCAUUGCCUUGAUGCAUCAGCAACAGCAGCAGCAACAGUUGCAGCAGCAGUUACAACAGCAACACUCCCUUGGAGCUGCCAUCUUCCUUCCCUCCGCUUUUUCAAUCUCGCCAUCACCCUCAUCCUGCCCACUUUCUCCUCCCCGUCCACCUAUAUUACAUCCUCGGCAGUCGCUCAGCUCCCUCAUGAGCGUAAUGGGCGGGAUACCCCCACGAGGAGUCCCGCCUUCUGUAACUCCUACACCCUCGCCCUCCACUAUUGGACCGACCAUGGUGGGCAUGGCUCCUUCAGGAGGUGGAGUUGCAAAAACUCCUCCUACUCCUGCCUCAUCAGUGCCUACCCCGCUGCAGGCUGGAAGAGCACUUCAUCACAGUCUCCGCCUCCACACGGAGCCCACAGCAUCACCUGUCCAUAAAGUCCCUCCUCCAUCUUCAGCAGUGGCGGCGAUGUCCAUCGAAGGGCGCAAUGUUGGCUCUGCUCCGCAGGGGGCCAAAGAGGCUUUGCUGCGUCAUGUUGGAGGAGGCAGCACCCAGGGCCUCCCCAUGAUUGGUCGGCUUACCCAGGAGGCCAGACUGCUCUCCGCCUCCCAGCCGACUCUGCCCCACCGCAGCUGGGCGAGUGUGCAGCCUCACCCGCCUCUCCAUCGUAAAGCAUCUGGAGGAAACCUACUUCCGGCACCCUUCCUUUUGUCGUCAGGACUUGCUAGAGGAGGAAGCGCAGGUGUUUUAAGCUCAAACAUGCCUGGUGCCACACAGGCAUCGACACAAACACCCCUGCUAUUAGCACACACACCUCCACUCACAACAGCCCCAGGAUCAGCUCCGUCACCCCUUGUCCCCUUCUUGUUCUCCCCGAAGCAAAACCCUCUUUGUUCCGCCAACCCUCCUUUAUCUCUCACGGCCACAUCUUCUAGUCGAGGGGUUCCUCAAACCCAACGUGCCAAAUCAGGCAAUAUAAUACCUACUCCUCCUUCAACCUCUCCCCCUCCUUACCUACGCCCUCCUUCUCCUUCUCCCUCUCAGUCCACCUCCACCUCUCCAACUUCAUCUCCCGGCACCUCUUUGGCUCUGAAUUCCCGUACCAAACCCUCUCAGACGCCUCCACCACCGUCCCCAUUAUCCUGCACCACCAACUCAACACCCAACAUCACUCCUUCUCAGACCACCACCCCAACUCGAACCCCAACCCCUGUUCAAACCCCUGUUCAGACCCCCACCCAAUCUAGAACACCAAUGGCCAUCCAAACCCAAUCCCAAGGUCGUUGUCCAACUCCUGUCCAGAUCGCAGCAUCUGCACAAACUCCGGCCUCUGUUCAUAGUCCGCUUCCUGCCCAGACACAAAGUAAACCUAUGAGUUCCAUCCUGAGCCAGAGCUCUGCUAUCCAGAUGCCAGCCACUGUCCAGGUCCUUGGUUCUCCUUCGACUUGUUCUGCAGUCUCCAUUCAAACCUCAACUACCAUACAGACUCAGAGCUCUUCCUGGACCCCAGGCUCUCCCAUCAAUACCCCAGCCCAAAGUAGACCUUCAACCCCUGUUCUGACCCAAUCGCAAACACAAGCUCCACUUGCUAAAGCCCCUGCUGCCGCACCAUCACCUUCUCCUUCAUCAACUCUAUCUCCCGCUGCUUCACAGCCACAGAAGCCUGCUGCUAGCCAGACUCAGCCCUUAAACAUUCUGUCCACUCCAACCUUAAGUCCAUCUCACAUUCCUGCUUCCGCUGCCUCAUCAUCUACAGACCCCCAGUUUAUCUCCACUUCAACAAAAGAGGCAAAGUAA
rnacentral:lncRNA from 1 species